rnacentral:rRNA from 1 species
CAGUAGCCGCGGUAAGACAGAGGAUGCAAGCGUUAUCCGGAAUGAUUGGGCGUAAAGCGUCUGUAGGUGGCUUUUCAAGUCCGCCGUCAAAUCCCAGGGCUUAACCUGGGAACUGCGCUUGUGACUGCACAGCUAGAGUAUGGCAGAGGGGGGUGGAAUUCCACGUGUAGCAGUGAAAUGCGUAGAGAUGUGGAGGAACACCGAUGGCGAAGGCAGCCCCCUGGGCCAAUACUGACGUUCAUGCACGAAAGCGUGGGGAGCAAACAGGAUUAGAUACCCCCGUAGUCCCUGUCUCUUAUAC